rnacentral:rRNA from 1 species
GACGUAGGGCGCGAGCGUUGUCCGGAUUUAUUGGGCGUAAAGAGCUCGUAGGCGGCUUGUCGCGUCGACUGUGAAAUCCCGCGGCUCAACCGCGGGUCUGCAUUCGAUACGGGCAGGCUAGAGUUCGGUAGGGGAGAUCGGAAUUCCUGGUGUAGCGGUGAAAUGCGCAGAUAUCAGGAGGAACACCGGUGGCGAAGGCGGAUCUCUGGGCCGAUACUGACGCUGAGGAGCGAAAGCGUGGGGAGCGAACAGG